UUGAGGAACGUCGCGGAGUCA
rnacentral:miRNA from 1 species